rnacentral:rRNA from 1 species
GAUGAACGCUGGCGGCGUGCCUAAUACAUGCAAGUCGAGCGAACGGACGAGAAGCUUGCUUCUCUGAUGUUAGCGGCGGACGGGUGAGUAACACGUGGAUAACCUACCUAUAAGACUGGGAUAACUUCGGGAAACCGUAGCUAAUACCGGAUAAUAUUUUGAACCGCAUGGUUCAAAAGUGAAAGACGGUCUUGCUGUCACUUAUAGAUGGAUCCGCGCUGCAUUAGCUAGUUGGUAAGGUAACGGCUUACCAAGGCAACGAUGCAUAGCCGACCUGAGAGGGUGAUCGGCCACACUGGAACUGAGACACGGUCCAGACUCCUACGGGAGGCAGCAGUAGGGAAUCUUCCGCAAAGGGCGAAAGCCUGACGGAGCAACGCCGCGUGAGUGAUGAAGGUCUUCGGAUCGUAAAACUCUGUUAUUAGGGAAGAACAUAUGUGUAAGUAACUGUGCACAUCUCGACGGUACCUAAUCAGAAAGCCACGGCUAACUACGUG